UUCUAUUGUUGGUCUGAGUUCUUUGU
rnacentral:piRNA from 1 species